rnacentral:rRNA from 1 species
AUUGAACGCUGGCGGCAUGCCUUACACAUGCAAGUCGAACGCGAAAGCGGGGCAACCCGCAAGUAGAGUGGCGAACGGGUGAGUAAUACAUCGGAACAUUUCCAGUAGCGGGGGAUAACCUGUCGAAAGAUAGGCUAAUACCGCAUACGCCCUACGGGGGAAAGCGGAGGGCCGCAAGGCUUCGCACUAUUGGAGUGGCCGAUGUCGGAUUAGCUAGUUGGCGGGGUAAAAGCCCACCAAGGCAACGAUCCGUAGCUGGUCUGGGAGGACGAUCAGCCACGCUGGAACUGAGACACGGUCCAGACUCCUACGGGAGGCAGCAGUGGGGAAUUUUGGACAAUGGGCGCAAGCCUGAUCCAGCCAUGCCGCGUGAGUGAAGAAGGCCUUCGGGUUGUAAAGCUCUUUCGGCGGGGACGAAAAGGUUCGUGCUAAUACCACGGACUAAUGACGGUACCCGAAGAAGAAGCACCGGCUAACUACGUGCCAGCCGCCGCGGUAA